UUUUUUUUUUUUUUUCAUAUUCUCAGGGAGUGAAUCCCAUUUGGAAGGAGUGGAAACAAAGAAUGAACUGUACAUGAAAAUUUUAUCCUAUAGGCUCAAAAUUUUUAAACUUAUAUUCACAUUAUUUCUAGUAGCAGCUUCAUGAAUAAUAUAAUUAUUAGUCUAGAAAACUCGUUCUCCUGUAGCAAACAUAUUCCAAAAGAUGGUGGUAACGAAAUAGAGCCCUGCCGUGACAGUCAGGAAUGCCUGAAAAGAUCCCAGCCAUUGAACAAAAUAACCU
rnacentral:misc_RNA from 1 species